rnacentral:rRNA from 1 species
CGGGGGCCCGCACAAGCGGUGGAGCAUGUGGUUUAAUUCGAUGCAACGCGAAGAACCUUACCUACUCUUGACAUCCAGAGAACUUUCCAGAGAUGGAUUGGUGCCUUCGGGAACUCUGAGACAGGUGCUGCAUGGCUGUCGUCAGCUCGUGUUGUGAAAUGUUGGGUUAAGUCCCGCAACGAGCGCAACCCUUAUCCUUGUUUGCCAGCGAGUAAUGUCGGGAACUCCAGGGAGACUGCCGGUGAUAAACCGGAGGAAGGUGGGGACGACGUCAAGUCAUCAUGGCCCUUACGAGUAGGGCUACACACGUGCUACAAUGGCGCAUACAGAGGGCAGCCAACUUGCGAAAGUGAGCGAAUCCCAAAAAGUGCGUCGUAGUCCGGAUUGGAGUCUGCAACUCGACUCCAUGAAGUCGGAAUCGCUAGUAAUCGUGGAUCAGAAUGCCACGGUGAAUACGUUCCCGGGCCUUGUACACACCGCCCGUCACACCAUGGGAGUGGGCUGCAAAAGAAGUAGGUAGUUUAACCUUCGGGGGGACGCUUACCACUUUGUGGUUCAUGACUGGGGUGAAGUCGUAACAAGGUAGCGCUAGGGGAACCUGGCGCUGGAUCACCUCCUUAAACGAUGAU